AAACAUUUCACCGUGUGCAUCAAAAAAAUCUUGUUGUAUACCUUAAAUACAUACAAUACAAAAUAAAGGUGAAUCCAGCAGAGAGACAGACAGUAAGGAGGUUUGGGACUAAAGAAAGCGUACAGGGGAGGAAGGAGGCAAGACAGGAAGUAAAAGAAAACAGAAGAGCAAAUGCCGCAGUUAGAAGCUGGGGAGGGGGCCGUGUGCGGACCUCUAGGUCAGAGCAGUUCAGCGAUCCUGAUUCACAUGAGAGCAGAGCCGCAGUGGCAGUGGGAAAAUGGAUGAUGCAUCACAGCAUAAACAAACAAGCUUCUCAGAGAACGGGUCACUUGUCAAGAGAGCUGAAAAGCGAGAGCAGGCAGGCUCUGAAGAAGCCCUGUGAGGAAUUCUCUACCGAAGAGAGGCUGUUUCCUGAAAAGCAGUCAGGAUUGUAUAGAAAGUUUCCUGGACCACCUGCUUGGAACACCUUCCUGUCUUCUGCUCUACACGCUGUCCCUCCCAUUUUUCAGCAAGCUCUUGGGAUUGCACUACACCAGAGGGUUGAAAACGCCUGCAGUGGCAUUCCAGAAAGGGAAGGGUCCUAGGGGACAGCCAGGAGACCUUAACUUCAUACCU
rnacentral:lncRNA from 1 species